AUUGAACGCUGGCGGCAGGCCUAACACAUGCAAGUCGAGCGGAUGAAGGGAGCUUGCUCCUGGAUUCAGCGGCGGACGGGUGAGUAAUGCCUAGGAAUCUGCCUGGUAGUGGGGGAUAACGUCCGGAAACGGGCGCCAAUACCGCAAACGUCCUGAGGGAGAAAGUGGGGGAUCUUCGGACCUCACGCUAUCAGAUGAGCCUAGGUCGGAUUAGCUAGUUGGUGGGGUAAUGGCCUACCAAGGCGACGAUCCGUAACUGGUCUGAGAGGAUGAUCAGUCACACUGGGACUGGGACACGGUCCAGGCUCCUACGGGAGGCAGCAGUGGGGAAUAUUGGACAAUGGGCGAAAGCCUGAUCCAGCCAUGCCGCGUGUGUGAAGAAGGUCUUCGGAUUGUAAAGCACUUUAAGUUGGGAGGAAGGGCAGUAAGUUAAUACCUUGCUGUUUUGACGUUACCAACAGAAUAAGCACCGGCUAACUUCGUG
rnacentral:rRNA from 1 species